UCUUGGUCAUUUAGAGGAAGUAAAAGUCGUAACAAGGUUUCCGUAGGUGAACCUGCGGAAGGAUCAUUAUCGAAAUAAACCUGAUGGGUUGUUGCUGGUUCCCUAGGGAGCAUGUGCACACCUUGUCAUCUUUAUGUCUCCACCUGUGCACUUUUUGUAGACCUUUCAAGGUCUAUGUUGCUUCAUCUACCCCCCCCAAAUAAUAAUAGGAUGUUGUGCCUUUUGAAAUAUACAACUUUCAGCAACGGAUCUCUUGGCUCUCGCAUCGAUGAAGAACGCAGCGAAAUGCGAUAAGUAAUGUGAAUUGCAGAAUUCAGUGAAUCAUCGAAUCUUUGAACGCACCUUGCGCUCCUUGGUAUUCCGAGGAGCAUGCCUGUUUGAGUGUCAUUAAAUAUAUCAAACCCUCUUCUCUUGUUGAGUGGUUUGGAUGUGGGGGGGUUCUCUUUGCUGGCCUCUCAAGGUUCAGCUCCCCUGAAAUGCAUUAGCAGAACGACCUGUUCAUUCAUUGGCGUGAUAACUAUCUACGCCAUUGAACCUGAAGCAGUUCAGCUUCCUAACGGUCCUUGG
rnacentral:rRNA from 1 species